rnacentral:lncRNA from 1 species
CGCCUCUGUGGGUCUGUCCGAUCGCGCCACCAUCAGGGGUUGGGGGCCACAAAGAGGGCUUUGGCACCCAGCCGCGUAGACGCAACCCCGGCCUCAGCAUGAAGUCUCGCAGGGACAAGCUUCACAUCCCGGCGCUGACCCUCGAGUGAGUGCUUGGCGAAGAAGGGGGGAAAUGGGGAGGGAGGAAGAGAGGCAGACAGACAACCGCCCUUCCCCCCCGCGUCUCUUUUUAAGUCGCCCCGAGUCAGACCGCCGCCUCCGGGGAGCCCUCCCGGGUCAUCGGUCAGGCCCCACCCCCGCGGCCUUGGCGAGACCCAGAAUCCCGGGCCUUGGGGGCUCCUUCUCCCUAAGGGAACCUAAGUCCGGGUCCGAAUUCGGAUUCGGCCACACGCAGGGGCCACCACCAGGUUCACCGUCCCCGGCCUCUUUCUUUACAGUCUGUCUCCGAGCAGCCAGAGCCCAUCUUUGCUGAGCCCCAGCAGCCCCUGCAGCCCUUGCAGCCCCUCACUGGGCCUGCAUCCCUGGAGGUAAGUGACAGCACUUGGGGGGCGGGGCUCGGACAUUGCCCUGACACCCCAGAACCUUGGAAGCCGCCCAGACCCAGCUUCCUCACCAAGGUACUGUGGGCUGGUGACAUCACCUCUCUGGGCCUCAGUUUACCCCUCCAUAAAAUGAAACUACUAUCCACAUUAGGGCCUUGAUGGGGGAAAUUCCAUUUUCAACCACAGCCAACAGGUCCUCCAUCCGACAGGUGGCCAAGGUGAGGCUAGAACUUGAGCUGUGGCCCAAGGACAUCCCUGGGACAGAUGCUGGGUUCCCAGCCUGCUCUGGGCCCUCCCUGCUGAAUCAGCCUUGCCUUCCAGCCUGUGACCUCCAGGACCCUCCCCACACCCAGCUCAGCUGGCCAGAAAGCUCCUCCCUCUGAAUGUAGACACACACACACACACACACACACACACACACACACACACACACACAAAGCUGAGAGUUCACCGUUAGAGCCCCACGCACUGUACCAGGCAAAGUGGCGUCAGGAGGAAAGAACCAGCUUGACUGAGUGCCAGCCCUGUACCAAAUACCUUCUGUUUCCUGCACAAGCCGAGAGGGAGGUGCCCUUCCUGUCCCCAUUUCUCAGCUGAGGAAACUGAGGCUGAGAGGAGACGCCACUUCUCCUGGUUCAGUACGUCUGAGGACCGAGCAUCAGGGCCAGCUUGGCUACCAAAGUCUGUUGAGGGUUUGAGGCAGCCUCUGUGACUGGCGCAUCUCAGGGUCUUGCCCCCUCUAUGGGAGGGAAGAUCAGGGUUGUCGUGGGCUCUUCGCACGGCUUGGGAAAAGUUCAGGGAGGUGACAGAUGUGUGAGUCAGUCAUGUCUAGAAUUCAAUGGCCCAUCAAUCAUUUAUACCUCAGUAUGAACGAACUGAUUAGAUUCUUUCCAAUAGACCUUUCGUGGGGAGAAGAGAGAACAAUUUGGAGCCCUCACUGGGUGCUGGGCAACAGACAGUUCCCUUCAUUAAGUAGGUACCUACUGUGAGCCAGAUGCUAAGGGCAUAGCUGUGAACAAGAUUAACGUAAUCCUUCCCUCAUGGGCCUCUCAGUCAGAUCUCUGGAGGUGGGCAGUGAACAAGUGAGGAGACAAACAAGAGCCAUUCAGACGGUGACCCCUUGGGGGAGGUGGUGUUUUAGCCAAGGUCGAGGCAGAGCUAGGGGAAGAGAGGUACCAGGCAAUGGGAACUGUACGUGCAAAGGUCCUGAGGCAGGACCAAGAAUUGAAAAGCUUCUGUGGCUGCCUUGGGGGAAGAAAGGUCUGCCGAGGACAAGUGAUGGGAAGGGAGGUGGCCAGGAUAACAUCUGGGUAGAAAAUGGUGGGGCCUAGACCAGGUCGGGGUAUCCAGUGGGGACUGCUGUACCCCCCAUUUAGGGGAGGAGGAAACCCAGGACAUCAGAGUAUGUUGUGCAGAGGUACCCUGGGAAAGAGUGUCGGGCCAAAUCUCACACCGACUGCUUGGCCUCAACCACCAAGUGAACAACAGCUGAGCCAGUUUACCAGGAGCAAAUGGAGGCAGAGAGUUUGGGGCUCUGAGCAGAAAAGCCUCCUCACCCGCCACCAGAGGGCAGCAGAGCCCCACCACCUUGGGCCAGGCAAGGAAAUGGGUCCCUGCCUCCCCUGCUCCAAGUACCCUAGGAAUAAGCCCACGUUUGUCCCCUCAGCCUCCAAGUCCCCAUGAGUCUGGCCCCUGCCACCUCUUAUCUCCCUGUCAUCUAUCUCCCCAUCUGGCUCACCAUACUCUAGCCAUGAGGCUUCCUGGGCUGCUAGAAUAUAAGCUGGUCCAGCCUCAGGGCCUUUGCAUUUGCUACUCCUCUGCCCAGAGCUCCAUUUCCUCCUUUCUUUGUUUGCCACAUCUCUAUCAAGCCCUCAGAUAGGAAGCUUUUUCUGAACACAGCCCCCAUUCAGGGCCUCCCAAGCCCCAGAUACAUCCAUUAUGCCUGUCCAUUUCCCUCAUUGAGACUGCAUUACGGGUGUGAUUUCCAUGUUUUCUUGUGUGAUUCUUAGGUUAUUUUUCUCACCCAGAGGUUUGGGAGCCCCUUGAGGGCCAGAGCUGGAUCUGUCCUCUCUAUUCUAGGGCGGGGCCUGGUAUACAGCAGGUGCUCAGUUAAUGCUUAUGGCAUGGACAAAUGGGAAGGAGGUGGGAGGGCUCUGCCUGUGGUGGUGAGCAGGAGGUAAUCGAAGAAGGUCGUGAACUCAAGGUCGUGAAUUCGGCCCUCAUGGACAAGGGGGCAAUAAAAAGCACCGUCAGAAGAAUGUUCCCUCUGGGGCCUUGAAUGUCAGGGACAGGAAGAAUUUGUAUUUUUCUAUCCAGGGAGCGAAGAACCAUACAGCAUAUAGAGCUGGGAGGGGUGUGGACAGUGCAUGGGCAGGUGGGAAGGGCUUGGGAUGGUCAGACCACGGAGGGGUUGAGGGUAGGGUUCUGUAUGCUCACUGGGGCUUUGCCAUUUACAUAGUCACUUAGCACAAGCAGAGGGAGGCAGGUCCUGAGUUACGGACAGGGUUAGGAUCUGAGACCUAGGAGAGGGAUUCACCCAGAAGUGUGGUUUUGCUGUAAAAGCACCGAGGAGCCACGGAGGGCGGGUGAGUUGGGGAGGGACGUGAUCUGGUGGGCAGGGGGCUGACGCCAGGCAUCGGUGGCUUAGUCAGCCCUUCACGGGAGGCCUUUGCCACGGCCACAGGCGUUGUGGAUUGUCAGCUGCAGCAUUGUUCUGCAGAGGAGGAAACUGAGGCCAGAUGGGCGUGGGAGAAGUGGCUGCUGGGGAUGCCAGCACAGUGGGAGUAAUGGGGGGCACGGAGGCACUAUAGGGUGCCACCACAGCUGGGAUUGACAGGUACUUCCUUUACGAACUGCGCAGAAGCAUCCCUGGCACACAUGGUGGGGAGGGUUUGUGGGCACGGUAUGUCAGCAUAUGGUGACACCAGACCAUGAUUCCAUCUCUACUUGGGCCUCAAACCAGGUCUGGAAUCUACCCACUUUUCCCCACAGCCUCACCCUGGUCUGGGCCCCAGUGUUGUCCUCCCAGACCCUGUUACAGCCUCUCACUAGCCUCCUGCCACCUGCAUUCCUGCCCCUGACAGCUCCUGUUCCCCAUGGAAGACGGUGGGGAGGGGUGGAAUUGACAAACAAUUCAGACCAUGCCCCUUCCCUGCUCGCACGUCCUCCAUGGCUCCCCAUUGCUUCUCCCGUUACAACUGCACUCUUCCUGCAACGUUUACAUGUUAAGUCCUGCUGGCCUCUUCCCCUCAGUCUGGUCUCAGGGCUUCUGCACAAGUUGCGCCCUCUGUUGGGAACACUUCCCAUGGCUGGCCCCUCUUCUCAAUGUGUCACCUCCUCAGAGAGGUCUCCUGGCUAAAGUCGCCCUUUGCCAUUUGUUACCUCUGUUCUUUUCCUUCCUUGACUAUGGUAUUUGAAAUUAUCUUGAUCAUUGAGUCGUUUGCUGUUUACUGUCUGCUUCCCCCACCAGACUUGGGGCCUCUGAGGGCAGGGUACUCAGGGUUUAGCACAGGGUCAGGAACACAGUAGUUACUCAAUAAAUGUCGUGUGAGUGAAUGACCAGCGAGGGGUGUUUGAGACCCAGGCCCAGGGGACCUGGAGAGCAUCAGGAGGACAAACCCAGUAGCUUCCUGAGGGUGACCGUGGCCAUGGCCAAGGCAGGAUGGGGAGUCUCUUGAGAAACCUGAGAAGCAAAAUUCGCGGCAAGAAGGUUGGGGGGAGUUAGGGUUACACACCAGGCGGGGGCCCCUAUCCAUGACUUCUCAGAUAUGGGGUCUGGGCUUCAGCGUCUGGGCUGGUUCCCAAAGCAUCAUGUGAUCUGUGAAGAGGCCACCCUCAGGGUGACACUGUCCCUGACUUCUGGGACGGUCAUGAGAGGAAGAAGCACUAAUUCACUACCUCCUGUGUCAGACGUUCCUAUUUCUAUGGUGAACAGGUACUGCAUUCCCAGCCCUUUCUGUGCCUCCGAUUCCAUUCCAUUUUCCCGAGGGGACAUCUGUAGAGGGAGAAACAGAGGCCUGGCUGGAAGUUAGCCUGAUGCUAAUAACAUUUAUCACACAUUUAUCAGGCACUGUUGUGGGUGCCACCUUACGUCUAAUUCAUGUAAUCAUCCUAUCAGCCCAAUUUCCCUCCCAUUUUACACUUGAGAAGACAGGCCUCAGAAGUUAAAUCAGGUAUCCCCUGAGUCGGGUAGCCAAGUUGAUGGCCUUUCCGUCACCAUAGACAGGCAAAGCAUGUCGGAUGCCCUGAUUUUCGGUUUGCUCAACACGUCCUUUCUGCCAGUCCAGUGCUGAGAGAUGCCGGGGCCUCAGGGAGCCCAAGCCCGAGAAGACAGAGCCAGACAGACGAGAAAAGGUUUCCUGGAAGAGGGGACGCUGGAUUUUGCCAGGCAGGAAGGACAUUCCAAGAAGGGGAGCCACCGUGGGGCACGGUAGCAUGAGCCAGGCCAGGCCCUGGGAUAGGUCUCAAGUGCCACACUCAGAAGGGGUUCGCGCGGGGGGGAGAGAGGGAAAAGGAGACGUGAACAGAUUGACGUUUUGAAGGAAGGGGGCUACGUUCCACCGCCUCACCUAACAGGCGCCAACGCCCCGCCCCCGCCGCCCGCAGCCCUGGCAACGCCCCGCCCCUCCGCCCGCGGCCCUGGCAACGCCCAGCCCACUAAGCCAGCACGCGGGUCCGCCAGCCUCGCUUCCGCGUCGCUCGCUCCGCCCCGCGAGGCCCCGCCCCCGCGAGGCCCCGCCCCCGCGCUCGCCUGGGCGGGUUCCCGGCCGCGUUCCGGGGCGCGCGCUUCCUCCUCGCCCCCUAACCCCAGCCCCGCGGCGCGCACCCCCUGCCCCGCUCCGCGGGGCUCCUGGGGCCAAUCCCGCCGCGGAGGUUCGUGCCCCGCCGCCGCCGCCGCUGCGCCCCCGCGCCUCCCGGGUCUCGGGCGGCGGCGGCGGCACAAAGAGAAGCAGCAUGUCCGACCCCAGCUACUGGACGGCGGUGGCUGCGCCAGGCCACCGGAGCCGCCUUGCCAAGGGCGCGCUGCUGCAGCGCUCCAAGAGGUAGGGGGCACCGUGCGGGCAAAGGCGCGGCGGCCGGCCAAGCAAACACGAGUUGCCAGAAGUAUAUCCCGUGGCGGCGUGGCGUGGGCCACUGUGUGCGGCGGUAGGGGGCAGGGGGGGACGCUUUGGGAUCGAGGUAUCCUCUAGGACCCCAGAUACCCUCGUUUCGCCCGUCGUUACCCCGGAGUGGGGUGUCUGCCCGCCGGGGUCUUAGUUAAGGGGGUAACACAGGCAGAAGGGACUUGGGACCGAGGCGGGAUUCGAACCCGGGUCUCUAGGCCUGGGAGACCUGGGGAGGAGCUUCUUGGAAAAACUGAGGCUAGUCUGGCCCUGGGGCUCAGUUAGCGGAAAUGUUGUUUCAGAAGCAGAUAUUUACCGCAUGAGGCUGGCAUGCAGGUGGUGCGUCAGGAGCGGGGUCACGGGGGUAAAAUACUGGGUUUAGCCUCCAGCGAAGCCUGGCUUCUCUUGGAGUCUGUUUCCUCUUCUGAAAAGAAAAGGCCAGGUAAGGGCUGUGGACUUUACAGGACUUGGGUUCAAAUUCCUGCCCAGCCACUGCCUGGCUGUGUGACCUUAGGCAGUUCCUUAACCUCUCUGUUCUUAGAUGUUUCACUGGUGCUGGGUUGGGGCGUUCCUAGAGGGCUAGGCACCGAGACCAGCUGCUGAAGGACCUGGAAUGCUAGGUUCAGGGCUUAGACGCUUCUCCCAGAUCCUGUGGAGCUACAGAGGGCUUAUGGGCACCUUAGGGAUCGGGUACAGGAAGCUGGCCUCAGGCCAGCGUUUUCUGUCGUAUUCUCACUCUGUGUUGUCCCACUUGGGUGUUUAUUGAAUGGCUAGGCAGAGCUUCUCCGCGUCCUGGGCCUUCUCCAGAGAGGGCUGAGCAAAUAGUCGACACUAGACAGUUGCUCGGGAAGUGCACAAAUGAUGCCCGGUUCCCCUUUGAGACCUCAAAUAUGGCUGUGUUUUCUUUUCAAGAAGGCCCCGCCUGAGAGCGAGAGGGAGGUGGCCAAGUGUUUUUCCCAAAGGCAGCUGUUAGUGAUAAAUGAUGCAUUGGGGUGCAGCAUGGAGCUGAGGAUCCAGAUGAGGGCUGGGAGAGGAUGUGGGACUGGCGGGGGUAUGGGUGUGUGUGUGUGGGGGGGGGUUGUUGGCAGGAAGUCUUGCAGGAACCUGUGGGUUUCACUUUUGCUUCUGUACAUCAGACUACAGGACAGUUCCUUGCGGCUGUUGACAUCCGUGGCCUCAGUUUCCUCGGCUGGGAAGUGGGUGCAACUGGUGUCUCUCACCUCCGGGUUUGUUGGGAUUGGCAAAGGGUGACUUAAUUCACCGGGGAGGCAUUGCCUGCCCUCCCACUGCGCGCACUAGACCCUGCAGGAGUUGUGGGGAGAAAGAUGACAAUAUACGUGCCCACGGCCAUCGACCCAGUGCUGGGCCCAGAGCUGAACACUGUGUACGUAGUGCAUCAGAUCUUCCCAGCACCUUGCAGGGUGUACAGAUGGGGAAACAAGCUCAGAAGGGCAGGUGUACAUGCUGGAUCCCUCCUCCCUGCCUGUCUUGAUGCCUGGGUCGGCGGCUGACCCUGCUCUCCCAUGUCUUAGCCUGCUCUGUGCCUUCUGCCUGGGACACCAUUCCUGGCCCUGUGAGGCCCUGAGGUUUCUCUCUCCCUCCCUGCGCCACUGAGCUGCGUUGGCGGCUCAGAGUAUGUGGGCUGCUGCACUUGUCGAGCAAGCAGAGCCGUUGCUGGGCGACUGCACCGGGGAAGGUGGGGAGACGGUUCGCUCUCAAUUUCCCUCUGCCAGGGCGGGGGCCGGGGCCGGGGCACAGGUGGGAGAGGCUGGGCAAGCGCGGGAGUGGCCUGGGCCAGGGGGUCUGGAAGCCAGAAGACAACGGGGAUGGAGGGAGGGGAACGUGUGGGCAAAAGUUGGGUAGAACAGGAAGGACAGGACCUAAGGUGCGAGAUGCUGAUUUUCGGGGUUUUAUAAGGAUCAGACUGGCAUUUUGGGGGGAUCGUGGGGAGGAAGGUCGCCAAGAGAUUGGGGCAGUGAGCCUGAGAAGGGGUGCGUGGAAUGGAAUGGGAACCUGCCUCAGUUCACCAGUGAGCUCCGGGGUCCUCUCCACUCUCUGCCUUAUUUGCCAGUGCUCCUGGCCGGGGCAUGGCGUCAGCGAAGGAGUGGGGGUGGGGUGGUGAACACAGAAGUGUGAGAAGGCUCACGGGGGGCUCCUGGCCAUGUGCAGUGUCCCCCAGGAGUCUAGAAGUGUUUCAUGCCACCACUGAUAAUAAUAAGAGUUUUAACAGUAGGUAACAUUUGUCAAAAAUGACUACCCCAGACCUCAAAGGCCGAGCUAAGGGCCAUGCAGGAGUCCAACUGGGGGCAGAGUGGCAGUGGUCACACCUGGCUUCCCGUCCUGCCCCAAAGCUGGCCACAUGUGCGCUCUGGCUUGGGCACGUGGUCCUCUGAGCCCUGAGGCCUGGGCCAGCGCCUGACCUUGUCCCCACCUCCCUGACAGCUGCCGCAGUGGGAACCGCAAAAGCCUGGUGGUGGGAACGCCCUCCCCAACCCUCUCCCGGCCCCUGUCUCCGCUCUCAGUUCCAACAGGUGAGUGUGGGAGCAAGCCUGCAGGGGCGGUGUCCCGUCUCUGCCCCCCCUGCCUCAGUUUCCCCUGCCUGCUUCUUCCUCAGCAGGCAACAGCCCCCUGGAUAGUCCUCGGAACUUCUCCGCUGCGUCGGCCGUGAACUUCCCCUUUGCCCGAAGGUGAGUGGUCACUGGCUUUGAGGGAUGACCUCAGCACAACCGGUGAGGGGACAGGCAGCGGCAUGCUCUUGGUGGUUGGCCCUGCCUCUUCAUUCGCCUUUUCCCCUCCCCUGUCCCCUGCCCUGUGACGGUCUCUCCCCCUGGCUUCUGCCCCCGGCAAACGCGCGGCCUUCUGCAGCCACGUCCCGCGCACGGACAGGUAAUUUCAGGGAGCCCUUGGGGAGGAGGAGGGCACACCAUCCAGGCUAAAAUCACUAAUUCACUAAAAAUCAUUAAUUUACUUAGAGUUGACGUUGGACCAAGCAUUUAAAUGUUACUCGUUCACUCAUUAACAUUUAUCGAGCACCCGUUACAUGCCGUACCCUGUGCCGGGGGCCGAGGAAGGGGGAGGCUGGACUUCGACCCUUGAGGAGUCCUCAGUCUCAAGGGGGUGACUGGCAUGUAUCCCAGCAACUGCAACUCACAGAGGUCAGAGCUUCGAUGUGGGAGGCACUGGCAGCUGGGUCAGGGAGGGCUUCCUGGAGGAGGUGUCAGAAGGACAAGGAGAAAACACACAGUGGAUUUGUUCACCUUGAACCUCUGUUCGCCGCCUUUUCAGAAGAUCCUUCCUCCAACAGGGCCAGCACCUGCCAGCCACGGUCUCCGUCCUUAGUCCCCACAAACCACGGGGGCCAUGCCUUCUUUCCAACUCUUCUGGUUCUCCCCUCUAGGGCUGACGGCAGAAGAUGGUCCCUUGCAUCUCUCCCAUCUUCUGGCUAUGGAACCAACACACCCAGCUCCACCGUCUCGGUACCCACAGUCCCACCUUGGCCAGCAGACAGGCGGGUGCGAGGUGGGGCGGGACACGUCUUUGGUUUUUAUCAAGGUGUCGGAUAGUUGUCCAGUCAACAAACAUCCUGGCUGCCCCCUCUGUGCCCCAUUCCGGGCAACGUAUGGCUCCCUGAAAGGACCCAGCCUCGGUCCCAAGGAGUCCCCGUUCUGGAGGACACAGACAUCCCCAUCCUGUGGGGUUAGGGCCUGGCCAGAGGGAGUCUUAGGGUUGCUUAAGGAGCAGGCGGCGAGGCUUGUUGGAGGAGGGGGCAUCAGAGCUGGGGUUUUGAAGGAUGCGUAGAAGUCAGGCAGGAGAGUGUUAACAUCUAAUGACCAGCAGGCAGCCUAGGCCUUGAGGGGUGAUGCUAGGGUUCUGGCUUUGGCGCUGACUGUGAACUCGUGGCCCUGAUACCCCCUCCUGCCAGUCGAGCUCAUCCUCCCGGGAGCGCCUCCACCAGCUUCCUUUCCAGCCGACACCGGAUGAACUAUGCUUCCUGUCCAAGCAUUUCCGCAGCUCAGAGAGCGUGGCUGACGAGGAGGGCGGCCACCGCUCACCCCACCUUCGUCCCCGUUCCCGCAGCCUCAGGUGGGCCUCGACCUCUAACCUCGGCCCCUCCCCGGGCUGCCUUUGGGGCCCACAUUGUGGCCCCUCCUCCACCUCUGGCCCUGACCCUGUCCGAGCCUGGCCUCUGAUCCUCGACCCUCCCCUGGACUGGAUUUCUGGUCCCACGUCACAAGCUGACUGUCCCCCGCCUGCCCCUUCCCCUUCAGCCCGGGACGCACAACAGGGAACUUCGACAAUGAAAUCGUCAUGAUGAAUCAUGUGUACCGGGAGAGGUUCCCCAAGGUGGGCAGUGCCCGGUGGCUGCACCGGCCCUAACUCCCCUCCAUGUUGUUGUCCCUCCUUGGCACCCUGUCUUCUUGGCUGUAUCCCCCCCAUCUCUCCAUUUCUGUCUGUCCCUAUCUCUCUGUCUCAAAGCGCCCCCCUCCAACCCAGGCAUAUUGCUUCUUCCCCCCCCCCAACCCAGUUCUCUGGCCCCGUCGUCCCCAUCAUCACAUUCUCCCCCACAACUGCCUGUCUUGCCCCCACCUGUGUGUAUUGCCCCCCCCCCCCGGCCCCGUCCAGUGACCAGGUUGUCCCAUCCGCCCUGCCCAGGCCACGGCACAGAUGGAAGGCCGCCUGGAAGAAUUCCUUGCUGCUUUUGCACCCGGCGCCCGGCUGGCCCUGGCCGAUGGCGUCCUGGGCUUCAUCCACCACCAGAUCAUUGAGCUGGCCCGCGACUGCCUGGCCAAGUCUGGAGAGGCCCUCGUCACCUCCCGCUACUUCAUGGAGAUGCAGGAGAAGCUGGAGAGGCUGCUACAAGAUGUGCGUGGUGGUGGGGGGUGGGGGGUGGGUGUAGGGGUCCCCGGGGAGGGCAGGGCCAAGGGCCUGCAGGCGACGCCAUCACCCGCCUCUCCCUAGGCCCACGAGCGCUCGGACAGUGAGGAGGUCGGCUUCAUUGUCCAGCUUGUCCGAAAGCUGCUCAUCAUCAUCUCGAGACCGGCGAGGCUCCUUGAGUGCCUGGUGAGUCUCUGCACCCAGCCAGGUGUGGGGCCCAGCGGUUGAGACUAGGCCGCUAGAACCGUCCUGCUGAGAUACAAGAGACAUGCCCAUCGGGUGGGGUUUGGGGAGGAGCACGGGGUGCCUCCCGGCUGGGCUGGGCUCUUUUCCCCAGGGAAGUGCCAGGAGCUGAGAUCUGGAGGGGAGAGUUGGAGCCACCGAUAGUGAAGCUGCUUCAGACGGAGGGAACGGCACGGGCCAAGGCCUGGAGGUGGGCACAAGCCCCGCCUUACCGGCCCCUCUGCCACCCCCAGGAGUUUGACCCUGAGGAGUUUUACCACCUGCUGGAGGCUGCCGAGGGCCAGGCCCGAGAGGGCCAGGGCAUCAAGACGGACCUGCCUCAGUACAUCAUUGGGCAGCUGGGCCUGGCUAAGGACCCCCUCGAGGGUAAGCUGACGGGAGUAGGGUGGAAAGGGAAAACCAAGGAGAGGCCGGGGCAGAGCUGUGAUUCGAACCCAGAGCCGUCAACUCCACAGCUGCCAUGAUGUCCUUCGUCUCUCUGUGGCUCUGCCCUCAGCCACCUGUGGGGCCCACUGUGGGAAAGUGCCUGGGGUUCCUGGGUCAGCCAGCUGUAAGUGGGACCUCUGACCUGCCAAGGGGUGGCUCCCAGAGGAGCCACCGCUCCUCCCACGAGUCCCCAAAGUACUUUCCUGAUUUCAUCAUCUGACCGUGGCCCAGGAGACGGACUUAGAGUCGGACAGGACAACCAACCCGUGGGCUUGACCAAGCUGGUCAAGAACUCCCCCCAGACAGCAGAGUCAGGAGACGUGCACCUGAGACGUGGGACCCGGGGAGCGUCGAACUUGGACCUGACCUGGUCCAGGUGCGGCCAUGGGAGGCUCUGGGGAAAGGUUGAUGUGUAAGCGAGUCCUGGCGGAUGGAGAGGUGACCAGGUACAGAUCUGGGGAAGAGAGGGGGUGAGCCGGGCAGGGGGGGAGGGUGAAAGCAAAGGCCCUGAGGUGUGCGGGAAGAACAGUGAAGGGGGAAGCGACUGGAGCUGAGGAAGAAGCAAAGCUGGGAGAAGGUGGUGGGGUCAGCAGGGCUUUGCCACAGUGGCUGGCGUCUGCCCAGCAUCGCUGCUCUGUUAACCCUGGGACUGGGCUGCCACUGUCCCCGUUUAAGGCUGAGGCUCCAGGCAGAUGAGGUCGAGCAGGGAUUCAGACCUCGGCGGGCCCCAGGCCAGACCGCUUGUCGACUGGCUGUGUGGCCCCGGCUGUGCCUGGCUGUCCAAUGAAGGCAGGUGGUGCCGUGGGCGGCCCCGGGGUCAGAGGAAGCAGAAAGUGGCCGGGCAGUUGGCAGCUGAGACUGUGGGGCAGGUCAUCUAUCCAGUGCCCCCGGCCAGGAACCUACUGAGUAAAAGAGGCUGUAUUCAAACCCAGACCUCCCUCACCCGUGAGACCCCAUUGUCCCAUCCCAGCCUUGCUCCGUGACCGUGAGACACUGUCAUGAUUCAGUGCCAUCAUCACGGCUCAUGUGCACCAGCCGCUCACUCGGGGCCGCCCCUCUGCCAAAGCCCUAGGGCCAGAAAACGGCAUGGGUGGGGGGCUCCCUCUGGGCCACACCCUCAGCUGAGGAGGAUGUUAGGAGCCAAGACCCAGAGGGCCUAUGUCACAGCCUGUGUUAACAGGCCCAAGGCUCGGAGCCAGGAUGAUGGCUGUGCCAUUCAGAGGCUGGGCUUCCCACGGGUCCUUCUGGAAAGUUCCUCAGGCGUUGCUUACUCUGGCCUGGGUUUGGCCAAGGUCUGGACGUAGUAGGGGCUCGAUGAUGCGAUGAUGGUAUCGUGGGAGCCGGUCAGGGAGGCACUACGUCCCCAGGAUGAGCCCUGGAGGCCUUGGGAAAUCUCUGGGCGAUCGAGGCACAGGCACGGAGGCAUCAUUUGAGGCUCCUCCCUUGUCUCACAGAAAUGGUGCCUCUGAGUCACCUUGAAGAGGGAGGACAGCCUCCAGCACCUGAGUCCCCGGAGGUAAGUCACAGAGCUUUGACGCCCCCACCUGUCGGGUUCUUUUCAAGGUAGAUCAGGCAGCCGUGGGAGGGGCUGGGUGUGCGGACGUGUUGCAUGUAGUAGGUGCUUAGUAAAUGCCUGUGACUUGAGGGAGAAGGUAGAGGCGAGUGCCCUGCCCUGGCGGUUGGACAGGGCAAGGCUGGAGGGGAUACUGGAAAGGGGCGUUUUGGAAGAUGUCUAGGAGUUUUCUGGAAGGAGGACGUGGCUCCAGCCAAAGCUCAGGAACUCAGAAGCUGAGUUUGAGAAGUCUGGAAGGAGAAAGUAGCAUCAGAUGUCGGGACCAGUGGCUGGGACUUGAAGGCAGGAAGAGCCCGGCCUGCUCUGAGGUGGGGCAGGACCCUGACCCUUCUUUGCCCCCUAGAGCCGUGCCCUGGUCGGCCCAUCGCGGAGGAAGCCGUGUGAGAAUGACUUCGAGACCAUCAAACUCAUUAGCAACGGGGCCUACGGGUAAGUCCUCGGGUCCCCCAGGGACUGAUUUCUCAGCCGCCCACGGGGAUGCCUGAGGUCCAGCGGCCCCUGAAUGUGCAGUCCGGGAAGCUGAGGCCUGAAGAGGGCAGUAGAGACACAGUACAGCCAGGCCAGGGUCCCAGACAGGCUCCGCCACGGUCUAGGCCAUUACCUGCCCCAGGUGUAGGGAGUUCUAGGUAUACAAGGAAAAAGAUGGCCCCGUGGUGGCGGUAGUGAGCAGUGAGCGUUAUUUUAGUGCUACUUUGACAGGUCCGUGUGGGGCUGGGGUGGGAGGGGGAGUCCUUCACAGGAUAAGACUAUCCAGAAGGGGCUUGUGCGUUUGGGUGAUGUGGCUCAGCAGCACUGCCAGGAGUCUGGGUCAGGGAGCUCCAAGAGGCAGCAGUGGCUUGGGGUCUUUUUAGCCCCAGGGCUCGUCUUCCGGAAGGCUAGUAAAUUUGGUAUCGUUUCACUACGGAUGCAAAGCUGGCAAGCUCUCAACGGUCAAAAAUCUGCUUAUUUGGGCCCUAUUUAAAGCACUUUGAGUUUGGUGCCAGGGGGCUUUUGACUGCAGGGGUCUCAGUCUGCCGUGAAGACAUAAGCCAAGGGCCAUCUCUGUCAUAUCGAUGUGACACCAAGAAAGGCAGCUUAAACCCAUAGGGUGGCUGCUUUUGGAGAGGGGCCAGGUAAGGAGAAAGGGUGUCCCGGCUGUAGGGCGCAGCGCGGGCAGAGGCCUGGCACGUUGGGUUCUGGGCCCAGGUCGGGGCCCGUUGCCUGCCCGGGCCUCGGUCUCAAGCCUCGGCGAACCCGGCUCCCCCAGGGCUGUCUACCUGGUGCGGCACCGAGACACACGGCAGCGCUUUGCCAUCAAGAAGAUCAACAAGCAGAACCUGAUUCUGCGCAACCAGAUCCAGCAGGUCUUUGUGGAGCGUGACAUCCUCACCUUUGCCGAGAACCCGUUUGUGGUCAGCAUGUUCUGCUCCUUCGAGACCCGUCGCCACUUGUGUAUGGUCAUGGAGUAUGUGGAAGGUGCGGUCACUAGGGCUUGCAUGCCUCCAGUGACGGGGAGCUCACCACCUACCCAGAAGAAAGUCCCUCCUUUGACCAAGCUAGGGUCUGCUCCGGCCUCCCUGGGGUCCCAGCCUGCCUUGGGAGCUCCUCAGUCUGUGGUGGGGGGGGUCCAACCUGGGCAGUUGGGGCUGAGGGAGUCCAAAGAGGUGUGUGAGGGUGGGACCCAGACAUCCUAGGCGGGGGGGGGGGGGGGUACCAGUGAGCAGAGGCCUGAGGGCCAGAAGUAAGAGCAAGGACGGAGGGAGGGUGGGACGUGUGGGUCGGAAGGGCCAGGAUGAUUGGGGGCCAGGGAGAAGAGUUGUUGGAUCAGGUUUGCAGUUAAAGAAUGAGCAGGGCCUUCAGGGGGUGCAGGGGUGUGCACUGUUCAAGGUCCUUCUAGGCAAGGAGGGGGAAUGAGCACUUAGGAGGCACUGGCUGUGUACAGGGUAAGGAACCGUGUCCUCGCAGGGCUGCUGCCCUGCCAAGGGAGAAUCAGGAAUCUGGAUCUGCCCUCCCUCCUGCCCUUCUUGGUUCCCCGCCUUGGUUUGGUAUAGACCAGGGAUGUUUUGCAGGAGGGUGGGGGGGGGGGGGGGGGGUCUCGUAAGCCCAGGGCCUCUGAACGCAUCUGUCGCCCAACAGGUGGUGACUGUGCCACGCUUCUGAAGAACAUGGGCCCACUGCCCGUGGACAUGGCCCGCAUGUACUUCGCCGAGACGGUCCUGGCACUGGAGUACUUGCACAACUACGGCAUAGUGCACCGGGACCUCAAGCCUGACAAGUGAGCAGCCUGGGGCUUUGGGAGCGGGGCCUCUGACUGGGGUCUGGGGCUGCUCAGAGCUCCCCGCCUAUCCAGGUCCUGCUGGCCCGUGGGCCCCUGGCAGCAGGAAGACAGGGAGCAGUGGCAACUUUGGGCACCUGGUGCAUACAGAGGAGGACAGGUCCUUAAGAGGCACCUGCUGUAUGCGAGGGGAGGAUAGUUGUAUUUACGGAGAUGCGGUCAGGCAAAGAGAGAAUGUGCACUUUAGUGUGCACACAACGCACAGGGGAAGGGACUGUGCACUCACAGAGUUACCGCGGCACAAGAGGAGAGAACGUGCACUCAGGAGGCACCGGCUGUAUACAGGGAACAGGGACGUGCCCUUUGCAAGACCUUCUGUGUGAAGAAAGGGACUGUGCAUGUCUUGAGCACCUGUUGUGUGUUUGUGCAGGGAAGACAGGAAGAGAUGUUCACUGAGAGCCUUGGGAAGUUUAUUUUGCUCUAGCACCUGAUAAGCACCUACUGCAUGCCAGGUCCUCUGUGGGCGACCGUGAGACGCGUGUGUGAAUAAUCCAUCAUGCUUUAUAACCCCUACAUAAUUUGCAAGGCACUCUCCCCUGCAUUAAUUGAGCACCUGCUGUUUAUAGAGCAAGGGGCUGCUCUUGAUAUCAAGUGCCGUCUGGAUACCAGGCCAGGAGCUCGAGUUUCUUAGGUUCUUUUUUUUUUUUUUUAAUUUUUUUUUCAACGUUUUUAUUUAUUUUUGGGACAGAGAGAGACAGAGCAUGAACGGGGGAGGGGCAGAGAGAGAGGGAGACACAGAACCGGAAACAGGCUCCAGGCUCCGAGCCAUCAGCCCAGAGCCUGACGCGGGGCUCGAACUCACGGACCGCGAGAUCGUGACCUGGCUGAAGUCGGACGCUUAACCGACUGCGCCACCCAGGCGCCCCGAGUUUCUUAGGUUCUUGCUGCACGGGGGUGUGAACAUCAGCAUUAAGAGCCUGCACGUUUUCAGGCGUCUUGUAGUUUGCCAGCGGCUUAGAAAAUAAAGUGUGUAUUUGGCACCUGCCAUGUACCUGGGCCUCUGUGCGCAACACUUGUCAAUAUGCUCUGUGCCGUCAGGUCUGUGGAUCAUCCUAGAGUGGGGUGGGGUCUCCUGAGUGACCCCAAGGCAGCACCUGCCCCUCCCAGGCUCGGGACCCCCAUCUGCAAAAUGGCACAGGCCGGCGCCCAGCCCCCGAAGGUUCAGGGAGACAGGCGCACACGAUAGACACGCGAGAGAGAUACUUUCUCCUUUCACUUUGGAAAAUUCCAAAUACAUCCCAAAGUCAAGAGAAGGCGCAUUCAUUCACUGGGGCUGUCAGAGCAAAGUAGCACAGAACUGGGCGGCUUAAACAAUAGAAGUUAAUUCUCACAGUUCUGGAAGCCAGAAGUCCAAGAUCGAGGUAGCAGCAGGGCUCCCUCUGACGUCCCCAGGGAAGGAUCUCUUCCAGGACCCUCCCCCAGCUUCUGGUGAUUUCUUGGCUUGUGGCGACAUUGCCCCGCUCUUCACAUGGCGUCCUCCCUCUGCAUGUCUGGGUCCAAAUGCCGUUCCUGUAAGGACACCAGUCAUACUGGAUGAGGGGUCACUGUACUCAGGGACGUCCUCCUCUUAACUAAUCACACAACAAUCCCGUCUCCAAAUAAGGUCACGUUCGUAGUCACUAGAGGUCCGGACGUCAACAUGUGACUUUGGAGGUACAUAACUCAGCCCAGAACAGAAGGAAGGGUCCAGUGCCCCCCCGUCCACUCCCCACAUUCAACCCGUUUCCACAGCUUCCAACGCUUGGCCAAUCCUGCUUCCUCCCCAUCCCUGGGUCCCCCCACCCCCCAUGCCGGGCAAUUUGAAGCAUAUCCCAGGCAUCGGAUCAUUUCAUUAUCAUUUCAUUUGUAAGAAGGAAAGGUUUUUUGUUUUUUUUAACAUUUACCUAUUUUUGAGAGAGAGAGAGAGAGAGAGAGAGCGCGCGAGCAGGGGAGGGGCAGAGAGAGAGGAAACAGACUCCAAAGCAGGCUCCAGGCUCCAAGCGGUCAGCACAGAGCCCGACGCGGGGCUCGAACCCACAAACCGUGAGAUCAUGACCUGAGCCGAACUUGGACACUUAACCCACUGAGCCACCACGGCACCCCCAGAACUUUUUAAAGACAGUGGGUGCACAGAAUCGUUCCUUUAGAGAGUCCGUGGAUGCAGUUCUGUGCCAAGUAAACGGUUUAUCAAACCACUUGGCUAUACGCAGCUCUCCAGAAAUUAAGCAGCCGAGGUACCAGGAGGUGCGCGAAACGGCGACUUUCUAAAGGUGGUGCGUAUGGUUCUGUCAUCUGGCAAGGCGUUUAUAUCCUUGAGCCGACGGGAAAACUAGAACAGCAGGGCGCAUGGGAGGUGUACAAGGUUUUAAAAACGGGUGCCCUCAGGAGGUGCACAGAAAUAUUUCUGUAUACAGCAGCUGCUCAAGGUAUGUUCGUUUUUCGACAGGAAACGUAAAUAACGAGGGCUUGCAAAGAAAGCAUUUAGUGAAAACAAAAAAUGGCCACGUGUGCAAAAAUAUACUGUGGGUUUCAGACGUUUUCAUGCACAGCGGGGAGACGGUAUGAUUCUCGGGAGAUGUAAAUUCCAACAGCGGAGUAUACAGUAGGUGCUCAGUAGCGACACCGGAUGCAUCCGGUGGGUGCACCGAGACGUUUGCCAGAUUGGCAGUAUUGCCCAAGACCUGUCGGUCCUCGUGAUGACGUGCCCGCGCUCGGGAAGUGCUUUCCGACCCCCUCGGGGGAGUUAAGCCGCCCUGGCUGGACCUCAGCCCACCUGGGGUGGCGCCAGGUUCCGGGGCGGCGUGAGAAGCCAGGCACCUCGGGCCCCCCAGCCCUGAGCGCACCACCCGCCCACCCGCAGCCUGCUCAUCACCUCACUUGGCCACAUCAAGCUGACCGACUUCGGCCUAUCCAAGAUUGGGCUCAUGAGCAUGGCCACCAACCUCUAUGAGGGCCACAUCGAGAAGGACACCCGGGAGUUCGUGGACAAGCAGGUGUGCGGGUGGGCAGGUGGCCCUGGGUGCGGGGCCGCCCCCCCCCCUAUCUGGAUCCUGACCCUCAGGAUGCGGGGAGACUUCGCAGCACCAAGGAGAAAAUAAACCGCACCCCCCCCCCCCCCCCCCCCCCCCCCCCCCCGCCCCCCGCCCCCCGCCCCGUAAUUCUCUCCACCCCCCGUUCCCAGCCUGGCCUUGGCCUCUCCGUCCCCCUCGUGGUCUCUCUGGAGUUGGAGGCCAUCCUCCUGUUCCCCAUUCUGCCUGACCCAGGUGUGCGGGACCCCUGAGUACAUCGCGCCCGAGGUCAUCUUCCGCCAGGGCUACGGGAAGCCGGUGGACUGGUGGGCCAUGGGUGUCGUCCUCUAUGAAUUCCUGGUGGGCUGUGUGCCCUUCUUUGGAGACACCCCCGAGGAACUCUUCGGCCAGGUGGUCAGUGGUGCGUUUCCCCCACCGUGGCCCCGGUUCGAGUCUUGGCCGCCCUGGGGCUCUGGGCAGCAGUUUCCCUACCGAAGGGAGCAGCUAUGUGUGUGGAUUGGGCACGUGCGGUGUGCCUGGCCCCAGCUGGACACUGGGGACAUGGCCAAGGGCGAGACAGCAAGGGAGAUAAACACGCAAGUUAGGGAACAUCAGAUACAAAAAAAAGUGCCCAGGAAAAGAAGCAGGAAGAGGGGAGGGGAUAGGGUACCAGAGGUGGUGGGGGCGGGGGCUUGGGGGGGGCGCUGCAUUAAAUAGAGGGUCAUGGAGGCCUCGCCAAGGUGACGGUGUGAGUAAAGACCUGAAGGAGCAGCAGGGAGUCCCAAAAGUAGAAGAGGGGAAGGUGUUCUGGGCAGAGGAUGCAGCCACAGCAAAGGCUGUGUAUGAGGUGGGACCGAGCCUGGUGUGUUGAUGGAAUAGAAAAGGCUGAUGGCUUAGAGUACAGUGAGUGAGGGGAGGUGGUUGGAGGUGCUAUGAAGGGUUGUCCUCACCCUCUCACUCUCUUUUAUUUUAUUUUACGUUUAUUAUUAUUUUUUUAAUUUGACUUGAUUUAUUUUUCCCUCUCCUCAUUUUAGAUGAGAUCAUGUGGCCCGAAGGGGAUGAGGCCCUUCCGGCAGAUGCCCAGGACCUCAUCACCAGGCUGCUCCGACAGAGCCCACUGGACCGUCUGGGCACUGGUAUGUGGACGUGGGAUGGGGAGAGGCUGCAUAGAGAAGGGGGACUUGGGGCUGGGGUUUUGAAGGACGCACAGGAGUUCACCGGGAACUAGCGUAAGACCUUGAAGGAAUAGCGGGUAUCUGGGUCGGAUGCAGACAAGGGGGCACUGAGGCUGAGUGAGAGCCUACAAGGUCACCGUGGGGUAUGUCCUAAGGUCCUCAAAGGCCCAGCCCAGUGGAUCCCACUGUUCAGAUUCCCCAGCCACCUAGUUAACGGGGAAAGGACUAUUUGAGACUCACGCAGCCGCUACGGGUUAUGUCCAUGAGGAAGCUUAGCCACUGGAGAGGACCACAGGGGCUGAGGUUGGGGAACAGGAUCCCUUCACGCAGUCAGCUCUCUGCUCCGUGGAGUAGAAAUGCAUAGAGAAGGCUGGAAAGAAAGCCCUCCUAGGGCUUUGGGAUCUCGGAAUCCAGCAGAGGAAAGAGCAGGGCCUGGGGGCUAGCCCCAAUUCUGUCUGUCUUCAGGCUCUUAAACAGCGGCUGUUCCCCUCGCCAUCUUUACGGCUCUGUGUUGGCCAAGUCGGGGCUCAGAUUUGGCCCAGGGGGCAGUGGGGGACAGGGACACGCAGGGCCGAGCCAGGCAUGUGUUGGCAGGUGGCACCCACGAGGUAAAACAGCACCCCUUCUUCCGAACACUGGACUGGGCAGGGCUUCUGCGACACAAAGCUGAGUUCGUGCCACAGCUCGAAGCUGAGGAUGACACCAGCUACUUUGACAGUAAGUGGUGGGGGGGGUGGGCUCUGCUAUCCCACAAGCCCCUGAGGCGGGGAGGGGAUGUCUGCCAGGGUCUCCACCCAAGCACCUCGCCCUGGACCUGGAGCUUCUGACUUCCGGAGCUUUCUGAGUAAUCAGAGCGUGUCUGCCGGCAGCUGCCCCCUCCCUGGCUGGGAUUUCCUGUGCCUCUGGGGUCCGGAGGCCACGGCAUCCUCUUGGGUUGUGGGAGGGGAAACCAAGGCACUGAGUGUGGCAGACCCUUGCCUGGCGUCCCUAGCAGGUUCAGCCUCCUGAGCGUCCAGCCCUGACCAAGGAUGGUGCCUCAUCUGUCACACGGGAGGGAGGGGCGCUUCGCUUUGCCUUGUGGAGGGAGCCCCUCCGACAUUGUGGGCGGGCUCAGACGAGUCUUCCUCUGCCCACUUGGGGCUCCAGCCACACAGGUUAAAUGCUCUAGGCUUCCAGCACCUCCUCUAGAAUUUGCUGUGUGAUCUUGGGCGUGUCAGAGGUCUUCUCUGAGCAGCUGUUUCCUGUUCUGUAAAGUGGGGAGCAUCCUUUAUGUUUAAGAUGCACACGAUCACCUAAUUCUGGGUGACCCAUCUCAAGGGCGAGGCUCCCGAGGGUCAGACACAAGAAUCCCCACCCACAGUCCCACGGUUUUUAGGGACCCAGCUGGAGUUUUUCGGCCAGGUCCUCACUCUGCCAACUCAAGCCUCCCGUGGCCCCUAAAUACACCAGACACAGCCCCACCUCAGUGCCUUUGCCCUGACCGUGUCUCCCCACCCCGGGACGCCCUCCCCAGAUCACCCCACAGCCCUCGCGGCCGCCUCGGGGCAUCGGGUGGGCUGUACGUGCCUUUCCGUCCUGCAGCGCGCUCGGAACGCUACCGCCACCUGGGCUCCGAGGACGAGGAGACCAACGACGAGGAGUCAUCCACGGAGAUCCCCCAGUUCUCGUCAUGUUCCCACCGGUUCAGCAAGG